UGCAGUAUAGCUCAGUGGUAGAGUGCAUGCUUAGCAAGCCUGAGGUCCUGGGUUCAAUCCCCAGUACCUCCA
rnacentral:tRNA from 1 species